AAGUCGUAACAAGGUUUCCGUAGGUGAACCUGCGGAAGGAUCAUUACCAAAUCCAAAAAACUUUCUAUCAACACCCCAAUGUGAACUGAGAAUGGUUUCGUCCCUCCAAGUUCUUUUUCGGAAGGAGGAGGAGGGAUGUUCAAACACAUUUUUUUUUUCAACCCCUUUUCAACCAUUAAAAACCCAUUUUUUUAAUGCUGAAAGCAAACAAAAAUACGAAACAUGAGACAACUUUUAACGGUGGAUCUCUUGGCUCGU
rnacentral:misc_RNA from 1 species